ACGGUGUCCUCGCAAUUCGGCCGACGGGCUGCACUCUCGCGACAUCAUGGUGGCGUACUGGCGACAGGCGGGACUUAGCUACAUCCGAUACUCCCAGGUCUGUGCAAAAGCAGUGAGAGAUGCACUGAAGGCAGAAUUCAAAGCAAGUGCCGAGAAGACUUCUGGCAGCAACGUAAAAAUUGUGAGAGUGAAAAAGGAAUGAUCUACCUUGCUUGAAAUGCCACAUUUCCAAGGUGAAGAUGUGUGGGCACAUGUUAUGGCAGAUUGGAAACGAUCUCACUUCAUGGAAAAAAAAUACUAUCUUGUUCAUAAAUUGACAAUGCCAAUAAAUUGAAGUAUGGUUCACUCUUUAAAAAAA